GACGGAGGGGGCUAGCGUUGUUCGGAAUGACUGGGCGUAAAGGGCGCGUAGGCGGUCUGUCAAGUCAGGCGUGAAAUCCUUGGGCUUAACCUGAGAAUUGCGUUUGAUACUGAUAGACUAGAGGACGAGAGAGGAAAGUGGAAUUCCGAGUGUAGAGGUGAAAUUCGUAGAUAUUCGGAGGAACACCAGAGGCGAAGGCGGCUUUCUGGCUCGUACCUGACGCUGAGGCGCGAAAGCGUGGGGAGCAAACAGGAUUAGAUACCCUGGUAGUCCACGCGGUAAACGAUGAGUGCUAGAUGUUGGGUGUAAAAGCUCAGUGUCGCAGCUAACGCAUUAAGCACUCCGCCUGGGGAGUACGGUCGCAAGAUUA
rnacentral:rRNA from 1 species